AAAUCGCGCGCUCGAACGCUGGCUAGCGCUCGCGUGUAAAAUUAGAUUUGCGCUUUUCCUCCCGAUACCCCUCCCCCUACCGUUACCCCUGUACUCCCAAUACCCCAGUGCGCCGCCGCCGCCCCUAUCGCCACCGCCCCUCUCCUGCGCCGGCGGCCCUAUGCUGCGCCGCCACCCUGGGCUCCGGGCGCCCUCCUCCCUGCUGAUUCGGUUCCACAAGCCGCCCGGUUGCACCCGCCGCUGCCGCUUUGAGGUCCGCCCGCCGCGGCCGUCCUCGCUUUAAUCGCGCCGCCGGCGCUGUGAUUGAAGCUUCGAGCAGAUCUGCAGCAGUGCCUCCCCCGAGUUCAGCAGCUCCGCACGGCCGCCUCCCUGGAGCAGCUCCGCCUCUUCUGGGGUGGAUCCUGCUGGGCGUGUUCGGCCUCAUGUCCCUCUACACCAUCUACACCUCCACGCUCGACGAGGACGAGGACUCCGGCGGCCUCUCCCUGUGAAAUCCUUUUGAUUACCAGCUGUUUUCUUCAGCCCUGACCUGUGCGAGUUCGACAAUCUAUGGUUGCAACUGCAAGUCUGCUACUGAAGGCAUGGUUUGUAUGCGACUGUGAAUUGUGAUUGGGUUGCAUCGGAGAUGGUAAUGACGAGUACUUAGUAGUUGGCUUUAUGGUGGUUUGAGAUUGCACCUAUGAUGCAUGGAAGAAUCUGGGCACACACUCUACUGUAUGAAGUUUGAUAGCAGUCUGAUUUUGUUGCCGAGUACUGUCAUAGUGUGGCAUGACAAAAGAAAUAUUCUAGAGUUGUGUUGCAA